GAUGAACGCUGGCGGCGUGCCUAAUACAUGCAAGUCGAGCGAACGGACGAGAAGCUUGCUUCUCUGAUGUUAGCGGCGGACGGGUGAGUAACACGUGGAUAACCUACCUAUAAGACUGGGAUAACUUCGGGAAACCGGAGCUAAUACCGGAUAAUAUUUUGAACCGCAUGGUUCAAAAGUGAAAGACGGUCUUGCUGUCACUUAUAGAUGGAUCCGCGCUGCAUUAGCUAGUUGGUAAGGUAACGGCUUACCAAGGCAACGAUGCAUAGCCGACCUGAGAGGGUGAUCGGCCACACUGGAACUGAGACACGGUCCAGACCCCUACGGGAGGCAGCAGUAGGGAAUCUUCCGCAAUGGGCGAAAGCCUGACGGAGCAACGCCGCGUGAGUGAUGAAGGUCUUCGGAUCGUAAAACUCUGUUAUUAGGGAAGAACAUAUGUGUAAGUAACUGUGCACAUCUUGACGGUACCUAAUCAGAAAGCCACGGCUAACUACGUG
rnacentral:rRNA from 1 species